AUGUUCCAUACUAAAGGAUUCGGGUCCAUAACCACGAGUUCCAGUGCACUAGAUCUUGUAGCACUUAGCAACGAAGCCCUAUCCAUUAGUAUUCCACAUAAGAAAUCCAUUCUAGAAAAAAAUACAAUUAGAUUAGCUCUUCAUCCCUAG
rnacentral:rRNA from 1 species